rnacentral:rRNA from 1 species
CACGUAGGGCGCAAGCGUUGUCCGGAAUUAUUGGGCGUAAAGAGCUCGUAGGCGGUUUGUUGCGUCUGCUGUGAAAACCCGGGGCUUAACCCCUGGCUUGCAGUGGAUACGGACAGACUAGAGGUAGGUAGGGGAGAAUGGAAUUCCCGGUGUAGCGGUGAAAUGCGCAGAUAUCGGGAGGAACACCGGUGGCGAAGGCGGUUCUCUGGGCCUUACCUGACGCUGAGGAGCGAAAGCGUGGGGAGCGAACAGG